rnacentral:tRNA from 1 species
GUGGUGGUGGCUCAGUAGUAGAGCGCUCGCCUUGCAUGUGUAGGGCCCUGGGUUCAAUCCUCAGCACCAUA